GACGAACGCUGGCGGCGUGCUUAACACAUGCAAGUCGAACGGAAAGGCCUGCUUUCCCUUGUGGAUUGCGGGUACUCGAGUGGCGAACGGGCGAGUAACACGUGAGUGAUCUGCUCCCAACUUGGGUAUAAGCCGGGGAAACUGGGUCUAAUUCCCGAUAGGACUGCAGGGUGGUGCCUGUGGUGGAAAACGAUGUUUCGGUGGUGGGGGAUGAGCUCGCGGCCUAUCAGCUUGUUGGUGGGGUAAGGGCCUACCAAGGCGGCGACGGGUAGCCGGCCGGGGAGGGUGACCGGCCACAUGGGGACGGAGAUACGGCCAAGACUCCUACGGGAGGCAGCAGUGGGGAAUAGUGCACAAUGGGCGGAAGCCGGAUGCAGCAACGCCGCGUGCGGGAUGACGGCCUUCGGGUUGUAAACCGCUUGCGCCUGUGACGAAGCGUGAGUGACGGUAAUGGGUAAAGAAGCACCGGCUAACUACGGG
rnacentral:rRNA from 1 species